rnacentral:rRNA from 1 species
GGGUCAGUAGGUUGGUCGUGCCACCGGUACGUACUGGUCUCACUGAUUCCUCCUCCCUGAAGAACCGUAAUGCCAUUAAUUUGGUGUUGCGGGGAAACAGGACUGUUACUUUGAAAAAAUUAGAGUGUUUAAAGCAAGCUAACGCUUGAAUACAUUAGCAUGGAAUAAUGAAAUAGGACGAUCGAUCCUAUUUUGUUGGUUUCUAGGAUUGACAUA